ACGCGAAAGGCUGGGCAACUGGCUGAGUAGAGUGGCGGACUGGUGAGUAAUGUAUGGAUAACCUACCCUGGAGCCGGGGAUAACCACUGGAAACGGUGGCUAAUACCCGAUGGUCCAAUGAGAAGGCACUUUUCAUUGGUAAAGAGAGCAAUCUCUCUCUGGGAGGGGUCCAUAUCCUAUCAGCUAGUUGGUGAGGUGAUGGCUCACCAAGGCGACGACAGGUAGCCGAACUGAGAGGUCGAUCGGCCACAUCGGAACUGAGAACUGUCCGGACUCCUACGGGAGGCUGCAGUCGAGAAUCUUCUGCAAUGGGCGCAAGCCUGACAGAGCGACGCCGCGUGCGGGAUGAAGGCCUUCGGGUUGUAAACCGCUGUCACUCGUUAAGAAAGCCUGGGGUAGGCCUCCAGGUUGACGUUAGCGAGAGAGGAAGUCACGGCUAACUUCGUGCCAGCAGCCGCGGUAAGACGAAGGUGACGACCGUUGCUCGGAAUCACUGGGCAUAAAGCGCGCGUAGGUGGCUUGGUAAGUCCAUGGUGAAAUCCCUCGGCUCAACCGAGGAACUGCCGUGGAUACUGCCGAGCUUGAGUACGGGAGGGGUGAAUGGAACUCUCGGUGUAGCGGUGAAAUGCGUAGAUAUCGAGAGGAACGCCGGUGGCGAAAGCGAUUCACUGGACCGUAACUGACACUGAGGCGCGAAAGCUAGGGGAGCAAACAGGAUUAGAUACCCUGGUAGUCCUAGCUGUAAACGAUGAGUACUGGGUAGCGCCGGUCCAAUGCCGGCGCUGCCGGAGCAAAUGUGUUAAGUACUCCGCCUG
rnacentral:rRNA from 1 species